rnacentral:rRNA from 1 species
UGGGGAAUAUUGGGCAAUGGAGGCAACUCUGACCCAGCAAUACCGCGUGAGUGAAGAAGGUCUUCGGAUUGUAAAGCUCUUGCAGGGGGGACGAAAAAAAUGACGGUACCCCCGGAAGAAGCCACGGCAAACUACGUGCCAGCAGCCGCGGUAAUACGUAGGUGGCAAGCGUUGUUCGGAAUGACUGGGCGUAAAGGGUGCGUAGGCGGCUUUGUAAGUUUUAAGUGAAAUCCCGUGGCUCAACUACGGUGCUACUUAAAAAACUGCAGAGCUUGAGUGUGGGAGAGGUAAGUGGAAUUCCUAGUGUAGCGGUGGAAUGCGUAGAUAUUAGGAGGAACAUCAGAGGCGAAGGCGGCUUACUGGACCAUAACUGACGCUGAGGCACGAAAGCGUGGGGAGCAAACA